CACGUUCACAAAAUCAAAACUAAGUUCACAGAGUUAAAACUAAUAGAUAUCAAAUAACAAUCUAAUUCUAACUGAAAAACAAUUAUUACAUUGCAUUUCCUAAUGGAUCAGAUUGCCUUAGACUGGGUCUUAGAUUCCCACGUCAUGCAUGUAGUUGUUUUGGCCUUAGACUCUUUUUCCACAUAAUUGCAUGAGUUGCAUAAGACCCCACGUACAUGCAUGCAUGCCAGCCUUUCCCAUGUAUCUGCAUGCAUACACAACCUUCAUCACUUUUAGGCCACGAAGUCUUGGAACCUAGGAUUCUUCCUAAGGGCUCUGUUGGACCUUCUUGGUUCAUUAGUGGUGAUGAGACUUGAACUGUUGACAUUUGUCUUAUUUGACACAUUGAACCAACGUAUCUCAAUCAAACACAAGUAUUAUCAUGUAGUCAACAACAACACAAGCUUAUCACCGCUCAAUUCCCAUCCUCCAGGACCGACAGUGUUUCAAAAUUUUAGGCAGAGAAUCAUAAAACUUUAAAUAAAAUCCUACCAAAAUUAGUAAUAUCACCAUUUCUCCAUGCUUCUAUUGAAAAGGACCUCUAACCAAUAUUCAAAAACUGAAACUCCAGGACCCCAAAUUGCACAAAUUAGAUCUGGUGGAUACAUUGCUUGGAUCUAUUGAACUGUAGGAUCUAAUUGUUGAUAUUGUAUUGAGAAACACCAAUUGUAAUAUUGUGCAAUAGGUUUUGAGAUUUUGCUAGUCGGUUCCAUGAGUGAGGCAAGUUCAAAAAGAUGGUUUACUAGAAAGAAAGGAUUAGAUAGUGGUGGAAAAUGAGCCAAGGGGAUGGUGGGAUGGGUGUUGGUGCUUGGGUAAGUGGCUAAUUUUUACAAACGUCUCGAUUAGGGAAUAAUCCCAUUUACAAUGGAAGGAGUAUUGAUAUCUUCGAUAGACUCCUCUUGUAUGGAUGGAACUUGAAUCUUCCACCUCUACAGCUUAAUUAUUGUUUUUAACUAAUAUCCAUUUGUUCAUAUGGUUUAUCUCGAGACAUGGUUGCCAUCCAAGUCCAAAUUCUGC
rnacentral:lncRNA from 1 species